rnacentral:rRNA from 1 species
GAGUGGCGAACGGGUGAGUAACACGUGGGAAACCUACCUCUUAGCAGGGGAUAACAUUUGGAAACAGAUGCUAAUACCGUAUAACAAUGACAACCGCAUGGUUGUUAUUUAAAAGAUGGUUCUGCUAUCACUAAGAGAUGGUCCCGCGGUGCAUUAGCUAGUUGGUAAGGUAAUGGCUUACCAAGGCGAUGAUGCAUAGCCGAGUUGAGAGACUGAUCGGCCACAAUGGGACUGAGACACGGCCCAUACUCCUACGGGAGGCAGCAGUAGGGAAUCUUCCACAAUGGGCGAAAGCCUGAUGGAGCAACGCCGCGUGUGUGAUGAAGGGUUUCGGCUCGUAAAACACUGUUGUAAGAGAAGAAUGACAUUGAGAGUAACUGUUCAAUGUGUGACGGUAUCUUACCAGAAAGGAACGGCUAAAUACGUGCCAGCAGCCGCGGUAAUACGUAUGUUCCAAGCGUUAUCCGGAUUUAUUGGGCGUAAAGCGAGCGCAGACGGUUAUUUAAGUCUGAAGUGAAAGCCCUCAGCUCAACUGAGGAAUUGCUUUGGAAACUGGAUGACUUGAGUGCAGUAGAGGAAAGUGGAACUCCAUGUGUAGCGGUGAAAUGCGUAGAUAUAUGGAAGAACACCAGUGGCGAAGGCGGCUUUCUGGACUGUAACUGACGUUGAGGCUCGAAAGUGUGGGUAGCAAACAGGAUUAGAUACCCUGGUAGUCCACACCGUAAACGAUGAGUGCUAGGUGUUUGAGGGUUUCCGCCCUUAAGUGCCGCAGCUAACGCAUUAAGCACUCCGCCUGGGGAGUACGACCGCAAGGUUGAAACUCAAAGGAAUUGACGGGGACCCGCACAAGCGGUGGAGCAUGUGGUUUAAUUCGAAGCAACGCGAAGAACCUUACCAGGUCUUGACAUCCCUUGACAACUCCAGAGAUGGAGCGUUCCCUUCGGGGACAAGGUGACAGGUGGUGCAUGGUUGUCGUCAGCUCGUGUCGUGAGAUGUUGGGUUAAGUCCCGCAACGAGCGCAACCCUUAUUACUAGUUGCCAGCAUUCAGUUGGGCACUCUAGUGAGACUGCCGGUGACAAACCGGAGGAAGGUGGGGAUGACGUCAAAUCAUCAUGCCCCUUAUGACCUGGGCUACACACGUGCUACAAUGGCGUAUACAACGAGUUGCCAACCCGCGAGGGUGAGCUAAUCUCUUAAAGUACGUCUCAGUUCGGAUUGUAGGCUGCAACUCGCCUACAUGAAGUCGGAAUCGCUAGUAAUCGCGGAUCAGCACGCCGCGGUGAAUACGUUCCCGGGUCUUGUACACACCGCCCGUCACACCAUGAGAGUUUGUAACACCCAAAGCCGGUGGGGUAAC